rnacentral:snRNA from 1 species
GCGCUUGCUUCAGCAGCACAUAUACUAAAAUUAGAAUGAUACAGAGAAGACCCCGGCCCCUGUGUGUGGAUGACAUGCAAAUUCAUGAAGUGCUCCAUAUUUUU